CCUUUUACUAUCCGAUUGACAAGACGUGUGUUCAACUUAUGGACGAAAAUGACUUUGUGUGAGUGACUGUGCGGUCUGCUGAUUGGUGUGUUGGUGCGUUUAUGUACAGGUAUGUGUAUGGUGUUCGAGAGACGACUGCUGGAAUAUUGGCCAAGUUUUUGAUGGAAGUACUUCGUUUGAUUAAUUACAGGAAGAUCUGUCGUUCGCUGUGGCUGCUGUAUGUAUCUGUGUGUGUGUUACUACUUAAUGCGUUGUUGAGCUGUCGCUGCGGGGGAACACACAGUAAGUUGUGGGAAAAUGUUUGAUUUUUUGAGGACUGGUGAUUAACUAGUGUAACGCUGUGAUAUUGUAGCACAAGAUGUUUGUUUUGUUUUUAUGAUGUAGUGAGAAUGAAGCCUUGAGAGAGUAGCCUACUGAUAACAAAAUAGAUUCCAUUGGGGGGAAAAAAGGAGGCUGAUCAAAAUCUUAGAAUAUAACAAUUUCAACAUCAAACAGAUAUUUAAUUUUUUAAAAGGAUUGUUAUAUGCUGCAAUCUGCAGUCAUGACUUUGCGCAGCGGUGUGGGUUUUUUGUGUGUUUAUGCGCAGCUGUGUGUCUUAUUAAAUCUUCAGCGUGAUUACAAGGAUGUAAGCCUUUUGUUUAUCUGUCAUCGCAUGGCUAAUCUUACGGUGGCCUGGAAGUGAAAAACAAAUUGUGAAACACUAACAUUUCAGAAAACACAAAAACAAAACACAAACAACUUCAACAUUUCAGAAAACACAAAAACAAAACAUGAAACACUUUAACAUAUCAGAAAACAAAUUAACAAAACACGAAACACUAACAUUUCAGGAACCACAAAAACAAAGCACAAAACACUUUAACAUUUCAGAAAACAAAUUAACAAAGCACGAAACACUUUAACAUUUCAUGAACCACAAAAACAAAACACUUUAACAUUUCAGAAAACACAAAAACAAAAGCAGAAACACUAAAACAAAAAGACGAACCAAAUUACAAUUAUGGACAGGGAGGGGUCCAUUUCACAGACAUUCUUGGAAAUCCCACGGUUUUUCUCCGCAAGACUCGCCCCGCUUCAACAUGAUUGGCUCCUGCAUCGCGGCAAGGGUUGGCUACACAGAUGGAAUGUGAUGUCCAUCCCAAAUAGCGAUUGUAUAUACGGACGCCCUGAAGAGCGAGCCUGUAUCUGCGUUUGAUGCUGUAGAAUUUAAGGGAACGUGUGGAUAUUAGCAAGGAAGCUCCAUUCAUUUUUGAACGUACCGAGCGAGGGAUCUACCUUACAUACAUUCUGGUCAAAAGCUAUGCUUUUUCAUUAUACAUUUUUAAUAUAGUUUAGCAUCGAUGUUAAACAACAUUUGAUGCUUUACGUACUAUUUAUAUGGCUUGAGCCGAGGCGACGCGGAACCCGGAAAUGUACAGUAUUUUCACUGUAGGGGAAAGCUUCUGUGCAUUUUGAUUGAAUGUAAACUGGGACGUGAAGACGGCGUGAAACAGAGAUUACAAUUUUGAAUGUCGUCAAAACCAGUGGACGACCGAUCGGCCGCUCAAGAAAACCACCUGACUGAACUAUGGCGCGGUGUACGUGGUUAGGAAACUGUUUCCUUCCCAAUCGACCAGACCAGAAUAUUGUACAUUUCCGGGUUUGCGAGCCGUGCCGCCGCUCUUACGAAUUGAACUUCAUGCGCUAUAUUCGCUUCCGCUUCCUGGACAUUUCCCAAGUCCGAAGUCAAAUCCCACCGUUUGGGGUACUAGCAAAUAUAGGGUUAAUCCGGAACUAACCGCUGAUUCAAUUGAACCUAAACUGCCCAUCCGCCAACACUGGCAGCAGCCACUUCGCACGGCUGCUGUUGAUGAUAUUUUCCAGUGUUGGAGUCGAUACCCCUUGGGCCACAUUCCGUCCGGUAUUAACCACUUUUUGAUGAUGUGUGGGGUGAUGUCUGGAGUUGUUUGUUUUUGUGUUCUUCUCUUGUUUUUGUUUUGUUGGUUUUGUUUUUGGUUUUGUCUGGAGUUGUUUGUUUUUGUUUUCUUCUCAUUCUUUUGUUGGUUUUGGUUUUGGUUUUGUCUUGUUUUGUGCUCUUGAGUUCAAUGGCAGUUUUGUCGCAGCACACGUUGCAUUAUGUUUAACACAUAAUUGAUUGCCACAAAAUCUGAAUUUAUAGAUUCACUUAGAGCCAGUUCAACAGGCUGCAAACACAGCACCGAUAUUAACAUUAUUACAGUGAUACAUAUGAUGAUUAUUCUACAGACAUUUAAUGUCUAUAAUUUUGAACUCAUUAUGGAACAGUCACCUAUUUGGGUUGACAUAUGAAGCGAUAUAGACUAAAUUGUGCACAUUUGUCAUUAAUUCAACAUGGUAUUAUAUAGUGGCAAUAUAAGAUACAUUUUAACUGUGGGGUGAAAAUUAAAUUUCUAAAUUUCAAAUCCCCAACCUUCAGAUGAAAAAUCUAAUAAUAGUACAGAUGUUAUUUUUGGCCAUGACAAAUUAUUGCAGGUCCUGGAUCAAUAAUUAUGCAUAAGUGACUGUGUCAUUGGCAUCCCUCGGACAAAAAAAUGCUGCGGCAGAUUUUUUUCAAACGGAAGAAAGUCCUUCGAUUGCCAGACUGCUCAAAACCCUUCAGUUGUUAUUUACAUGACCUCGUGUUGACACAGACACAGGUUUUCGGGGGAAAGGAAAACUACUGCAAAGGAAAACUAUGGUGAUAAAGGAUGCACCUGUCUUCAAUCAGCUUCAUCACCACCAGUGUAUAUAAGCCUGCCUGUUCCCGGAAAUCCUCGCCUAAGUAUUGCAGCCUCUCCUAGCGGUACCACGGCCCACCGUACUCAUGUAAGCUACUCAACUCUUCGUUCUCUUGUUAACUCUUGUGUCUCCUCGUUCCCAGUGGUCCCCUGUGUUCCUGACCCAUGUCAUUCCUGCCAUCAAGCCAGCCGCCUGUUCUGUCCACUGCCUGCCACCUGUCCACGCCGCCGCCUGCCAACACAUCCAGGACCACCUCCAUAACCUUUCCUCAAUAAACUUCAUAAUUUUAAAUCUG